GCUCUAUCAGCGCCGGACCAGUUUCGUUUCGAAUUUUGACCAGAAUGGAAGUCAAUCUUGUGUACCUGGCAGUGGUGCUGGCGGCUAUCGCCUAUCUGUAUCGGUGGAUAACGCGCAAUAAUGACUACUUCCACGACAAACCGAUCCCGUCGAUGGCCGUUACGGCCGUUUUUGGGCGCUUCGGGAUCCCUGGUGCUGCGGAAGGUCAGCUUCCCCGAUUUUAUCCAAACGAUUUAUAACAAAUUCCCUGGAGUGAAAGUCUUCGGAAUGUUCGAAACCAUCACGCCGUUCUUCGUGAUCCGCGAUCCGGAACUGAUCAAGCAGAUCGCCAUCAAGGACUUCGAUCACUUUGUGGAUCAUCGUCCGACGUUCGGGUUGUUCGAUGAAGAAAGUGCUGAACAUCCGAAUGCCCUGUUCAGGAAGACGCUGUUCUCGAUGACCGGUCAGCGGUGGAAGGAGAUGCGCGCUACGCUGAGUCCGGCCUUCACCGGAAGCAAGAUGCGGUUGAUGUUCUCGUUGAUGGGUGAAUGCUUCGAUGAAAUGAUUGAUCACUAUGUGAAGAAGGCGAAGAGCUCCGGUCGGGUAGAGGUCGAAGUCAAGGACAUGAUGAGCCGAGUCAGCAUCAACGUCAUCGCGUCGUGCGCCUUCGGGAUCAAGGUGGAUUGUUUCAAGGAUCAGGAUCACGAAUUUUUGCGGCACGGUAAGAAAAUGAUGGACUUUGCACGACCGAUUGUGAUCGCGAGGAUGAUGGCCAUGCGUGUUUUCCCGAAGUUGUCUUCGAGGUUUGGGAUCGAUCUGCUUGAUCCGGAGCAAGCCCGGUAUUUCACUCAAGUGUUUCAGGAGACGAUCAAGGCUAGGGAGAGUCAUGGAACCGUUCGCAACGAUAUGAUUGAUUUGCUGCUACAGGCUCGCAAAGGCACUCUGAAAUUCCAGGAAGAGAAAAAUGAUCAGGAGGGAUUCGCCACCGUUCAGGAGUCAGACAUGGGGAAGGUUGAAGUGAUGAAGCACAUCACGGAGUCGGAAAUGAUCGCGCAGUGUUUGGUGUUCUUCCUCGGUGGGUUUGACACCGUAUCAACCUGUGCCAUGUUCAUGGCGUACGAGCUGGUUCGUAGUCCGGAGGUUCAACAGAAGCUGUACGAAGAAGUGUUGGAGACGAGCAAGGAGCUCGCUGGGAAACCACUGAGCUACGAUGCCUUGCAGAAGAUGAAGUACAUGGAUAUGGUGGUAUCCGAAACUCUGAGAAUAUGGCCUUUGGCACCGGCUACGGAUCGUCUGUGCACUAAAGACUAUACGAUCGACGACGGUCAGGGUUUGAAAUUCACGAUCGACAAGGGAACGUGCGUUUGGUUCCCGGCCGCUGGACUACAUCACGAUCCUCAGUAUUUCCCGAAUCCGGAGCGUUUCGAUCCGGAACGGUUCAACGACGAAAACAAGCGUAACAUCAACCUGGGAGCGUAUCUUCCGUUCGGUAUCGGUCCAAGAAACUGCAUAGGUUCGCGGUUUGCGCUGAUGGAGGUCAAGGCCGUCAUGUAUUACACGCUGCUGAAGUUUACGAUCGUUCGCAGUGCCAAGACCCAGAUUCCGAUGCAGCUACGGAAAGGGUUUACCAAUCUGGGACCGGAGAAGGGAAUGCACGUGGAGUUGAAGCUGAGAUGAAUAGAUGAAUAGGGUUUUGUCCAAAUUUUAUAAUAUGUAUUGAAAUAAACGCAUUUUAAAGUAUUA